rnacentral:rRNA from 1 species
CACGUAGGAGGCAAGCGUUAUCCGGAUUUACUGGGCGUAAAGCGCGUGUAGGCGGUUUGGCAAGUCGGAUGUGAAAGCUCCUGGCUCAACUAGGAGAGGACGUUCGAUACUUCCAGACUAGAGGACGGUAGAGGGAGAUGGAAUUCCCGGUGUAGUAGUGAAAUGCGUAGAUAUCGGGAGGAACACCAGUGGCGAAGGCGGUCUCCUGGGCCGUUCCUGACGCUAAGACGCGAAAGCAUGGGGAGCGAACGGGAUUAGAUACCCGAGUA